rnacentral:rRNA from 1 species
UACGUGAGGGUGCGAGCGUUGUCCGGAAUUAUUGGGCGUAAAGAGCUCGUAGGCGGUUUGAUCGCGGUUACGCCGUGAAAACUUGGGGCUUAACCCCAAGCCUGCGGUCGAUACGGGCAGACUUGAGUUCGGGCAGGGGAGACUGGAAUUCCUGGUGUAGCGGUGAAAUGCGCAGAUAGUCAGGAGGAACACCGGUGGCGAAGGCGGGUCUCUGGGCCGAUACUGACGCUGAGGAGCGAAAGCGUGGGGGAGCGAACAGG